GUCCUAGCCGUAAACGAUGGGUACUAGGUGUUGGAGGAUUCUACCCCUUCAGUGCCGCAGCUAAUGCAUUAAGUACCCCACCUGGGGAGUACGAUCGCAAGGUUGAAACUCAAAGGAAUUGACGGGGGCCCGCACAAGCGGUGGAGCAUGUGGUUUAAUUCGAUGCAACGCGAAGAACCUUACCUAGGCUUGACAUGCAGGGGACAGGUGUAGAAAUACAUCCUUCCUUCGGGACCCUUGCACAGGUGCUGCAUGGCUGUCGU
rnacentral:rRNA from 1 species